rnacentral:rRNA from 1 species
GUGUCAGCAGCCGCGGUAAUACGGGGGGGGCAAGCGUUGUUCGGAAUUACUGGGCGUAAAGGGUUCGUAGGUGGCUCGCUAAGCCAGACGUGAAAUCCCUCAGCUUAACUGGGGAACUGCGUCUGGGACUGGAGAGCUUGAGUGCAGGAGAGGAAUGCGGAAUUCCAGGUGUAGCGGUGAAAUGCGUAGAUAUCUGGAGGAACACCGGUGGCGAAGGCGGCAUUCUGGACUGCAACUGACACUGAGGAACGAAAGCCAGGGGAGCAAACGGGAUUAGAUACCCCAGUAGUCC